rnacentral:rRNA from 1 species
GAUGAACGCUAGCUACAGGCUUAACACAUGCAAGUCGAGGGGAAACGGCAUUGAGUGCUUGCACUCUUUGGACGUCGACCGGCGCACGGGUGAGUAACGCGUAUCCAACCUUCCCAUUACUGCGGGAUAACCUGCCGAAAGGCAGACUAAUACCGCAUAGUCUUCGAUGACGGCAUCAGAUUUGAAGUAAAGAUUUAUCGGUAAUGGAUGGGGAUGCGUCUGAUUAGCUUGUUGGCGGGGUAACGGCCCACCAAGGCUACGAUCAGUAGGGGUUCUGAGAGGAAGGUCCCCCACAUUGGAACUGAGACACGGUCCAAACUCCUACGGGAGGCAGCAGUGAGGAAUAUUGGUCAAUGGACGGAAGUCUGAACCAGCCAAGUAGCGUGCAGGAUGACGGCCCUAUGGGUUGUAAACUGCUUUUGUAUGGGGAUAAAGUUAGGGACGUGUCCCUAUUUGCAGGUACCAUACGAAUAAGGACCGGCUAAUUCCGUG